AGUGAACGCUGGCGGUAGGCCUAACACAUGCAAGUCGAACGGCAGCACAGUAAGAGCUUGCUCUUACGGGUGGCGAGUGGCGGACGGGUGAGGAAUACAUCGGAAUCUACUUUUUCGUGGGGGAUAACGUAGGGAAACUUACGCUAAUACCGCAUACGACCUACGGGUGAAAGCAGGGGAUCUUCGGACCUUGCGCGAUUGAAUGAGCCGAUGUCGGAUUAGCUAGUUGGCGGGGUAAAGGCCCACCAAGGCGACGAUCCGUAGCUGGUCUGAGAGGAUGAUCAGCCACACUGGAACUGAGACACGGUCCAGACUCCUACGGGAGGCAGCAGUGGGGAAUAUUAGACAAUGGGCGCAAGCCUGAUCCAGCCAUACCGCGUGGGUGAAGAAGGCCUUCGGGUUGUAAAGCCCUUUUGUUGGGAAAGAAAAGCAGCAGGUUAAUACCCCGCGGUUCUGACGGUACCCAAAGAGUAAGCACCGGCUAACUUCGUG
rnacentral:rRNA from 1 species